UUUGUCUGCGUCUUGUGUGGCAGCAGAUUUUAGUAACUCUGGAAAAUGGGCGAACCAUGACUGCAGCUUGAGGAAACCAUUCACUUGCUUUCGUCAAUGGCACGCUAGGAUAGGUCCGUUUAGUUCGUACUAUUUUGUUUACGACCUGAAGAACAUGACUGAAGCACGAGAUCACUGUAGAGAGAAUAACGCAGAUCUGGCAACUAUCCACAACUUGGAGGACGUGACAACCCUGAACAACAUGGCAAAUUUAAGCCAGAUGGUCGGCUCCUCAGGACAAGCCUGGAUAGGGCUGUAUGGUGAACCGGGCAGCUGGAGAUGGUCACUGUCAAACACAAGUGUCUACAUGAAUCCAGAGAUCACACGAUGGAAGUCUGGACAUCCAUCAAAUAAACACUGCGCGUUAGUGGACAU